rnacentral:rRNA from 1 species
AUUGAACGCUGGCGGCAUACUUUACACAUGCAAGUCGAACGGUAACAGGGUGCUUGCACCGCUGACGAGUGGCGAACGGGUGAGUAAUGCGUCGGAACGUGCCGAGUAGUGGGGGAUAACGCAGCGAAAGUUGUGCUAAUACCGCAUACGUACUGAGGUAGAAAGUGGGGGACCUUCGGGCCUCACGCUAUUCGAGCGGCCGACGUCUGAUUAGCUAGUAGGUGAGGUAAAGGCUCACCUAGGCGACGAUCAGUAGCGGGUCUGAGAGGAUGAUCCGCCACACUGGGACUGAGACACGGCCCAGACUCCUACGGGAGGAAGCAGUGGGGAAUUUUGGACAAUGGGCGAAAGCCUGAUCCAGCCAUGCCGCGUGUCUGAAGAAGGCCUUCGGGUUGUAAAGGACUUUUGUCCGGGAGCAAAUGCUGGUGGCUAACAUCCACCGGAGCUGAGAGUACCGGAAGAAUAAGCACCGGCUAACUACGUGCCAGCAGCCGCGGUAAUAC